GUUCGGCGAUACCAGCACAUUCUCGGGUUUCACGUCGCGGUGCAUGAUCUAUGGAAGGAAAAUCUUCUGUUUCAUUCAAAACGUAAAGUGACCGAAGAAAUCCUUCAAGAGAAAUUUCUAAAAACAGGAAAGUCAAAAUAAGAAAAUCAAUCGAGGAAAAAGAUUAACUUGAUUAUACAGAUUGUACGUUGAUCGUUUGUAGAAUCCUCAUUUAAGUUGUACCUAAUUCACCUAAUUGCAAACGCGUAAUGUUUUCCGUACACCAGAACUUCCCGAGUCGAGCUCGACUAAAUACGGCAACCAUCGUCCUCGUUUGUUACAAUGCUAUCAUUCAUUAGGUAUCCGGCCGUUGCGUGUUACUACACAUGCACGGCUUACUGCAACUUGGAAUUUAAGCGUCACGGCCGUGAACUUUACCAUAAGGCGUACUUAUUGCCAAAGGUUGCUGAUAAGCGAAAGUACAACAUCAACGUGCGCACAGAUACGUAUUUUGUAUCUUUCAAAUUAAAUUUGCAUAAAUUUGUCGAAAUUUCAGUGUAAAAUAUAAUCUGAAUAUUUAUUUUAUUAUAAUAGCCACUUUCGAUAAUGCAGUUCACGUAAACUCCUUAAAAAUUUAAAUUGUGUGAAAAAAUUAUAUAUUGCCAAAAAUUAAUAACGCGGAAAGCAUUUUGUUGCGCGGAUUGUCCUAUAUUUUUUUUUAAUACAAUAACGGAAUUAAAAAUUACAACUUUUAGCGAGAA